AUGAGCGAGCCGAAAGGCAAGCAUAAUAUCCAUAACACAGUGAACUGUUGGCUUCGGCCAAAUUUUUACAAACUUUGUGUAAUGAACGUAUAAUACUAUAAUCAAUA
rnacentral:misc_RNA from 1 species